rnacentral:sRNA from 1 species
GAAAAAGUAAGUUUAUUUA